rnacentral:misc_RNA from 1 species
GUGAGUCAUCGAAUCUUUGAACGCACAUUGCGCCCCUUGGUAUUCCGAGGGGCAUGCCUGUUCGAGCGUCAUUAUAACCACUCAAGCUUCGGCUUGGUAUUGGGGUCCCGCGGUCUCGCGGCCCUUAAAACUAGUGGCGGUGCCAUCUGGCUCUAAGCGUAGUAAUUCUCUCGCUACAGGGUCCAGGUGGUUGCUUGCCAAAACCCCCUAUUUUCUAUGGUUGACCUCGGAUCAGGUAGGGAUACCCGCUGAACUUAAGCAUAUCAAUAAGCGGAGGA